GCGGUUGUGGCGGAAUGGCAGACGCGUACGUUUGAGGGGCGUAUUCGGAAGAGUGUGGGUUCAAGUCCCAUCGACCGCA
rnacentral:tRNA from 1 species